GGCGGAAAGUAGGGUAGACGUUCUGCGACUUGGCAUGGACCCAGCGGAUCAAGGCGGGAUUUUCCUGGGGGGCAAACACAACGGCGGAACUGCUGCACAGAGGGAGAAAUGCUGCGGUGACAAACUGUCCUCCUGUGCAGACCUGCAUCAUCUGCUCCCCCUGGACCAGCCUAUGGCAGCCUCUGGACAUAGUCUUGCUGCUACUGCAAACCACCUCUGAAACAAAAGAUUUUGCAAGAAUGAAGGAGACCCUUCUUGUCCCUGUCUUGUCAGCCAGAUCUUGAAGCUCAUUUGACUCUCCUGACUGCUAGUGUUGACCUAAGGCAAGCAGCAGGAAUACAAAAUAAGCUCUGGUAAGGGUGGGGCUAGUCUCAAUAGGGCAGCACAGGCUUGAGCUAGAAUAUGCUUGUCAUAAAACCACAUCCUCGUGGGCUCACACACCAAAGCUUAACAGGUAAGACCCCAAGUGGUUUUUAUUUUUUUUAAUCAGGACUGAUGUUUAUUGAAUGUUCCAGGUUUGCAGCAUUAAAUGAAAUUGACAAUUCUUCUAUGAAAAUGCCUUUGAAGUUUACAUCAUCUGUUUUCUUUGCCAUCAGCAGUAACCAAAAUGGAAAGAACAGUCAAGAAAAUUAAUCUUUGUCCAGAACCCCAUGGAGGGCUGGCCUUGACUGACUGCCAGAUAUCUACCCAGAUGCUUUCUCACUCCUCUCCUUGAAAGGGCUGGGGGAGAAAAUGCCAUAGAAAAUCUCAUGGUUUGCUAAAAGCACAGUUGUUAAGAAAACUUGUUUUCUUAACAAAAAACACUGCACAUGGAAGCAAAGUAAAAAGUGGAAUUCAUUCACUAAAAAACCAUCAGCAGGCAGAUGUUCAGCUAUUUUUUGGGAAGCAAGGCCUCAAUAGGCAUAGCAGUUUCUUGGGAAGAUAGAUUACAUCACCACAAAUGUCCUCCCAUCAUUCUUCUUUCCUUCAACUUUUAUUUCUAAGGAGGACAUCAUAUGGCAUGGGAUAUCCCUUUGGUUAUUUGGGUCAGUUGUCCCAGUUAUUCCCCCUGCCAAUCUCUUGUCCAUCUCCAGCUUACAGACCUUCAAAGUGGUUGGAGGGGUGUUGGAGAGAAAGCCCUGACACUGUGCUAGCACUGCCCAGCAGUACCCAAACCCGUGUGCUACCACAGAUGAAAGGCACAGAACCUCUAGGUUGCUGUGCAGAAAGUUGAGUCCAUCCCAACCAAACCCAGUACAAAGGCAGUUUGAAAGCUGUCUGACACCUCGGAAUUUCAGACUAUUCUCAUACAAGGUAGCCUGGAAUCAGACACACUUCUAUGACACUCUUUGAUUGAAACUGCAACUAACGUCCACCUAGAGUUUAAAGUAAUCCAAGAUACCUUCAGUUUAGAACUGUGUGAUUUUGCAUGUGGCUUUUCAGUCAUGCCCUGAAAUACACAGACUGGAUUUUUUGACUGUAUACUCAAAGUCACUCUUUUCAGUGUGACCAAGCUGAUUCUGUGCUUUGAGUGAAUGAGAGAAAAAUUAACCUAAAUCACAUACCUGUCUACCUACCUCCAAGGUGACCAUGCAUGAUGUUUUCAGAAGAGACAGGUUAAAUAUGCUGUCAACUCCAGAAAUACUGGUGCCUGUCAAACUUGUGCUGAGUGCUUGCACUUGUCCUGUUUGAAUCAGUCAGACUGGGUUAACAUGUUGGUGGGCUCUAUUGUGAAUUCUCACUGGCCUUUGCAAAUAAAGCAAGCUGGAAAAUGGAGGAAGCUGACAAAAUCACUCAUAUCACAAGAAGGUUCCUGAACAGAAACCUCUUACUUCUAAUUCCUAUAUGUAAUGGCAAAGAAGGGUCGUUUGGCUCCUGUUCCUGUUCUACACAAGUGAAGAAAUAUUGCUAAGUGUGCUGCUGCCCUUCUUUUGAAGGGGCAUCAAUAUCAAGCAUUCAUGUGCAUGAAUAUAUCCAUGGUAAAAGGCAAAUGAAUACAGAAGGGGAGUAGUGUAAGAAGCAUUAGGAUCCAGCACAGUUUAUUUGAACUCAGAACGAGUGCAGCUAACUGCAGCAUAUAGCUAUAUUAAUAAAUUUUCCAGAUACAUGUAAUUCAUUCUGUGUUAAAAACUGAAGUCCCCAGUAUCUUUAUUUUAUAGUUGUUUAAAGGAAGCCUAGCAUGCAAAGGAAGGAGUUAAGAUAGUUAGGGGAAUUAUGAAUUGUUAGUACAGCCAACAGGCCACCCAUAAAUGUGUAUCAAAUGUUGAGCUCAGCAGGAGUUAGUUACAAAACUAGGACAUUUAAUGAGUCAUGAAGUGCCAAGAAUAAUGAGACAUGGCAUUAAACAAACCAUUCCUGCCUCUCCUUGGCUUGUCCAGAGACGAUGGCAAGAAGCCCUCUGCUGUUUCAGCUUUUCCUGUCAAAAGAAAACUUUGGACUCAACUGAAUUAUAGCCGUGGCUGAGCUGCCUCAGCCAGGGAGCUGGUGCCGCCCAGGCGGCUCUGGUGACAGAAGGAUAAACUGGCAGCCAGCAUCCCUUCUCUACUCCUUUGCAAGUCAUUGAUUGUAACAUUUAAUAGUGUUAUAUUCUUAGCUCUCCCUCUGCUUCCAGCUCCUUGCACGAGAAACUAUUAAUAGUUAUAUAUCAAUGAAGAAUGGAAGAGGAAGAGGUCUUAGAGUAGGGUGGGAAUUUGAAACAUACCCUGGACGUCUGAGGGUAAGUCCCGUUGUUGGUUAAGUGUUAGAAGUGCUUAGCCAGUUGAAGGGUGACACUGUUGCUAGACUUCCCCUCACAAUGGCUGUCAGGACCUGGAGUACUCCAGCAAGCUGUAUUGCUCCAACCACCCUCCACCUGGCCCAGGUGCAGCAUAAAGUUGAGAUCCUUGCCUGAGAGCUGGCCUGAACUGUGUGAAAUGUAUGUUGUAUCUAGGCUUGGCUGGAGUUCCUAGGUUGACCUCAGGCCUUCCUUAUUACUUUGGCUUUGCCUGGACAGCACUGGGCUGCAGCUGGUUAUGGUUAUUGCCACUGGACCUGGCCUCAUCACCUUGUCUGCCUCCCAGCUAAGCCCAGUGUUGCCAUUCCUGGACUGCAGUGUCACUCAUGGAGCAGUGCUCAACCUCAUGGCUGUGGGGAUUGUAUGUGGUGCCAAAGGUGAACUCUGAUGGCUGCCAGUAAAAAUUCACAAAGCAGCUGCUAAAUAGUGAGAAGAAACUAAAGUGUUGCAGGAAAUGGCUCAUGCAGCAUAAGGGGAGGCAUCUUUCCUGGCCUGCUGCUCCUGACACAGACCAUUACCAGAAGCUGAUGCUUCUUUGUUUCCCCAUUUCUCUGCAGGUGUUUUGCUCUGCCCACAAAAGAAAUUAUAGAUCUGCCUCAUUCAAUUUGCGUAUCAGAAAAGUAACAGUGCUUGCUGUGAACUCUGCCUGCUUCUUUCUGACAUGAUGGGAAGAGUUUCAGAUGGAGAGUCCCCUUAACCCAAAACAUGUCUGAGAGGUGAACCAUCACUUAGAAAUUAACUUCUUCUUCGUGGGUUUUGUUAAGAGUUUAGUGUAGCCCAGAUCAUCUCCAGCUUCCUGAGUCUCCACUGUGUGACAAGAGUGCCAUGGCUUGUGUAGCUUGCAGCAAAAUGUUACACAGCCUUUAUUGCACAUGGAGGAUGCUCCUGUAAGUUCUUCUCAGACCCAUGGGUGAAAUGCUGGAUUUGCUGAGGAGAGCCCUAUGAAAAAUGGCUCUGGCCCACAAAGCUUUCAGAUUGCCUGCAAUGUCUUACCUGAAGUCACCUGAUGGGUUUAGCUGGACUUUCUUUCACAAACAGAAUAAGAAUGUAAAGAAAAGCCUGCUGUGUGAAGACUCAGACCAGAGGGGCCAGGGAAACUUUAUUCACCAACAGACAUGGCCACUCCUGCUUGUCAAGACAAAUACAGUGCCUCAACAAUUGGUUUGGAGUUAGGGACUUCACCUGUCAAGGUGGAGUCAACUUAAGAACAUUAUCUUGGAGGAAGCCUCACUUUGUGGUAUCAUCAGGUCCAAAACUUAUCCACAGCCUGAAAUUAAUUUUUAACUAAAAAAAAAAAUAGGACUUUAUAAACAAUGAUUCUUUUAGAAGUCACAAAUUUCUCCCUUGUACAGGAAGACACUCCAGCCCUGUGUGGGGAAAAAAAAACCUCCGCCUGAAAUCUGUGAUAGAUGAGCCUUGAAGGAGAAGCGGCUCUGUUGUACUUCUGUGUAGAACAAGACACUCACUUUGUUUUGCUUUAUAUCUUUUGUUAGAAGUCUGGAGCUUAAAUUUUAAAUCAAGUCUUUGGGAACGCACUGUGAAGCCGACCAUCAGUAUGAAUAAAAUAUGUUAAUAGGAA